CGGGGAAUUUUGCACAAUGGGCGAAAGCCUGAUGCAGCAACGCCGCGUGCGGGAUGAAGGCCCUCGGGUUGUAAACCGCUUUCAGCAGGGACGAAUAUGACGGUACCUGCAGAAGAAGCCCCGGCUAACUACGUGCCAGCAGCCGCGGUAAUACGUAGGGGGCAAGCGUUAUCCGGAUUCAUUGGGCGUAAAGAGCGCGUAGGCGGACUGUUAAGUCAGAUGUGAAAACCGGGGGCUCAACCCGCGGCCUGCAUCUGAAACUGGCAGUCUUGAGUCUGGUAGAGGAAAGUGGAAUUCCUGGUGUAGCGGUGAAAUGCGCAGAUAUCAGGAGGAACACCAGUGGCGAAGGCGGCUUUCUGGGCCACGACUGACGCUGAGGCGCGAAAGCGUGGGGAUCGAACAG
rnacentral:rRNA from 1 species